UGGUGGGUUUACUUCUUGGAGGCUGAUUUAGGGUUUCUAUUGAUGAUUCUAUGUGACUGUUAUAUUGUACAUUUCUUUGAGUCAUCUCAUGAUUUCAAAUAUUGUUAUUUCAGCUAAUUGACGUUCUGCCAGACAAUUUUCACCCUAGGCCUGAUUUUUAUGGACUUCCUUGGAAGCCUGUCAUUAUUGCUACCUACUUGGGGAUUGCUAUAUUAGCCAUUUUCGUUUGGAGCACUAUCUUUGCUGUAAAGCCUCCAGUCUAUCAAGUCAAUUUAGAGCAAAUUUCUGAGAAGAUUAAGAAUUACGGGAAGGAAAACACAGAGCUUGUAGAAAAGAUACUUAAUUAUGAACAGA